rnacentral:sRNA from 1 species
UUGCUAUCUGCGAUAUGGAAGAUUCGAACCUGCCGCAGGUUCGGGUCUCAUGCAGUGAGACAACGGAGCCGUUUACGGCGACGGCCCGUAGGGCGAGCGAAGCGAGUCAUCCUGCACGACCCACCA